rnacentral:tRNA from 1 species
GGGGUUGUAGCUCAGUGAUAGAGCGCUUGCCUAGCAUGUAUGAGGCACUGGGUUCAAUUCUCAGCAUCACAU